rnacentral:rRNA from 1 species
AACACGUGGAUAGCCUACCUAUAAGACUGGGAUAACUUCGGGAAACCGGAGCUAAUACCGGAUAAUAUAUUGAACCGCAUGGUUCAAUAGUGAAAGACGGUUUUGCUGUCACUUAUAGAUGUAUCCGCGCCGCAUUAGCUAGUUGGUAAGGUAACGGCUUACCAAGGCAACGAUGCGUAGCCGACCUGAGAGGGUGAUCGGCCACACUGGAACUGAGACACGGUCCAG